GUUGUAGUCGGUAAGUGAAGUUUGCGGGGUUAUUGGAAGCGGGAAACGUCAGGCCGUAGGACGGGAAGAAGUGAGGCCGCACUGGGCUGAGCUAAGAGCACCUUGAAAAGUAAGGCCCAGGGCUUAUAUUGAGAGCAUCUGUGGCGGGAUUUACAUUUCUUCCUGAAAGGACCACUUUCCAAAAGCCACAUCAAAAGUCCUACUCAAACGAACUUCAGAGUCUAUCAUAGGAAGAUUCUUCAAUCACUAUGUCAACUGACACAGAUGUGUCUCUUUCUUCAUAUGAUGAGGAUCAGGGAUCUAAACUUAUCCGAAAAGCAAAAGAGGCACCAUUUGUCCCCAUUGGAAUGGCAGGUUUUGCUGCAAUCGUUGCAUAUGGAUUAUAUAAAUUGAAGAGCAGAGGAAAUACUAAAAUGUCUGUUCAUCUGAUCCACAUGCGUGUGGCAGCCCAAGGCUUUGUUGUGGGAGCAAUGACUCUUGGUAUGGGUUACUCCAUGUAUCGAGAAUUCUGGGCAAAACCUAAACCUUAGAAGAAGAGAUGCUGUCUUGGUGGUGCUUGUCUUAGUUAGACAUCUCAUAUUGAGGUUAUAUGUUUAUACUGAGAAUAAAUUAAAUGGGUCAGACAUUAACGCAGUAAUUUGAAUACUGGUUUUCUUUCUUGGCUUGAUUUGCCUGGUAACCAAGUUACUGGUGACCAGUUAAGUAGCUAGGUUAUUCAGGGGAGUCACAUUAGCACAAAAGAAGCAGGUCACCUUUAAAUGCAUUUGGUAGUGGUAAAAUGUCGACCUUCCUAAACUUUUCUGUUGCAAUUAGUUCUAAAGAAGACAACUUGCCAAUCCUGAAAUACUCCUAGCUGCUGCUCACAUGCUUUUGAUGUAAUGUAGAAAUCCUGUUUACUCCAGUUAAUUUAACUCUUUGCCCUGUGGACUGAGUAUUCAGUUUUAAAGGGCUGAUUGGCUCUUGAGGAGCCCUUUCAGAAUAGUGCAUGCAGUAUAAUAUUAUAAGCCUUCUACAACUGAUAGUAUGUUUGGUGUGUUUUUAAACCAAAUAUAAAAAGUUGGUAACAGCAACGUAGAAGUAGUACCUAUUUCAGAAUCAUACUUGUAAACAUGAGAAUAAUUUAAUUAUGGAUCCCCAUUUAGCUCUUUCAUAAUUGCAGAGUUAUGUUUUGCUGCUGUUAGAAUAUUUAAAUGUCAUCUCGAAAUAGAAAUAAUUUUAAGUGCUAAUGCAAAAGUAAAUGAAAAAUUCUUUUUAAACGUGUGCAGUAAGUUUAUUUUCUCUGUAAGAAUCAUAAAUGUUAAACUAAAUAAAUUGCCUAUAAUGGAAGUGAUUGGUUUAUGAGCAGGCUUGUUUGGUCAGACAUUAUACCCAAACUUUGGUAGACCACAGAAUGCUUUGUUGCACCUGUGAAAUUCUCUUGUCUAACCUGAAUUUACAUUCCAUGGUGAUAACAUGGUAAAUGUAGUGUUAAUAAAAUAAGCGAACACACCAAA